rnacentral:rRNA from 1 species
GAUGAACGCUGGCGGCGUGCCUAAUACAUGCAAGUCGAGCGAACAGACGGGGAGCUUGCUCCUCUGACGUUAGCGGCGGACGGGUGAGUAACACGUGGAUAACCUACCUAUAAGACUGGGAUAACUUCGGGAAACCGGAGCUAAUACCGGAUAAUAUAUUGUACCGCAUGGUUCAAUAGUGAAAGACGGUUUUGCUGUCACUUAUAGAUGGAUCCGCGCCGCAUUAGCUAGUUGGUAAGGUAACGGCUUACCAAGGCAACGAUGCGUAGCCGACCUGAGAGGGUGAUCGGCCACACUGGAACUGAGACACGGUCCAGACUCCUACGGGAGGCAGCAGUAGGGAAUCUUCCGCAAUGGGCGAAAGCUUGACGGAGCAACGCCGCGUGAGUGAUGAAGGUCUUCGGAUCGUAAAACUCUGUUAUUAGGGAAGAACAAAUGUGUAAGUAACUAUGCACGUCUUGACGGUACCUAAUCAGAAAGCCACGGCUAACUACGUG